UAUGUGGUGGUUUCGGAACGCAUUACGUUAUAGUUUAUCAACACGGGAAACGUGCUUAACCUAUUUUCAAUUUAUUUGUCAGAUUAGCAUAGCAUUGUACUACGACGCAGUUUACGAAUAUUCCGAACCGAGAAUAUUACGAACAGAAACCUCAACGGAGUAAAGUGAAUAAUACCGUAUACCAUAGAGAAGACAGUAAACGAAGUAAAUAUAUGCAGAGAAGUCGCGGACGGCUUGCGUAUAUAUUUCGAUUUCGCAUAUUACCUCAUCUCCUGUUAUAUAGGACACUCGACGAGCUCCGGGUUUUCCCUAUCGAUGACGACGGUGAAUGUCUGCCAAGGAUAUGCGCCAGAAGAUGAACAAGAUCUCUUCAACAGAAAAUUGAAUCGCCCAGCAUGUCGAGUAUUUUCCGCAAGAAGUAAACUCCCCUUUGUGUCUUAUAGCAAGAAAUUCUGUGUGAAAAAAUCGAGUAUCACGUCGGCAAGAGAUUCGCGAGUGCAAGCACAAAAAAUUGUUGUUAGGCAUAAAUGUAUAAUGUUGUUUCAACGAAUGUUAACUUAUUUUUUUAUCGCGCUAGCUCUAUGAGUGACGUGUAAAUUAUUUUGUUUAAAUAUUAACACGGUCUGAGGAGUUUAGAGAUGAGAAAAGACGAAUGUUUUUUCACGUUUUGUAAAAUUCGGAUGUCCAUUGUGUCUGCACUCUCGCAGCGUUUGGAAUUUUCUCACUUUCUCAUGAUCCUCUUUAGGUAAAAGAAAAGAAAAAGAGUAAAUUCAAAACGCCACGAUUAACAGUAAUUAAUGUUUAAUUUCGAAGUCUGUCACUUUACAUAGUAAUAAACAAACGUCAUAGAUCAUA